UGGUGGGUAGCUCAAUUGGCAGAGCGCUACAUCUUUGUUCACCCCUUGCCUGUAAAGGACGAAGAAUGAAGGUUAUCGAUUAGGGUUCGAGAGGUUGCGGGUUCGAGUCCCGCUCCACCAC
rnacentral:tRNA from 2 species